AACAAACGUUGGCGGCGUGCCUAAUACAUGCAAGUCGAACGGGGAAAGCUUUCGGGUGAGUACUAGUGGCGCACGGGUGAGGAACGCGUGGAUAAUCUGCCUUAGAGUGGGGGAUAACUAGUCGAAAGAUUAGCUAAUACCGCAUAAGACCACAGGAGCUGCGGCUCAAGGGGUCAAAGGUUUUUCGCUCUAAGAUGAGUCCGCGUAAGAUUAGCUGGUUGGUGAGGUAACGGCUCACCAAGGCGACGAUCUUUAACUGGUCUGAGAGGAUGAUCAGUCACACUGGAACUGAGACACGGUCCAGACUCCUACGGGAGGCAGCAGUAGGGAAUAUUGCACAAUGGAGGAAACUCUGAUGCAGCGACGCCGCGUGAGCGAUGAAGGCCUUCGGGUCGUAAAGCUCUGUCGCAGGGGAAUAACACAAUGAAGGUACCCUGUAAGAAAGGAUCGGCUAACUUCGUGCCAGCCGCCGCCGUAAUAC
rnacentral:rRNA from 1 species